GUACUGAUGAAGAGUCCCAGUCCCAAACUGGGACGAAACAGCUGUCCAGUAU
rnacentral:hammerhead_ribozyme from 1 species